rnacentral:rRNA from 1 species
CGGUGUUCAACUGGCGUGCCCGCGGGACGUCCUGCCGGUGAGCUCAGCCCGCGAGGGCGGCUCAACUUGAAAUCCCAUCGCGGUGCUCUUCAUUGAGUGUCGAGGUGGGCCGGCACGAUUACUUUUGAACAAAUUAGAGUGCUUAAAGCAGGCUAAAAUUUUGCCUGAAUACUGUGUAUAUGGAAUAAUGGAAUAGGACCUCGGUUCUAUUUUGUUGGUUUUCGGAACCCCGAGGUAAUGAUUAAUAGGAACGGAUGGGGGCAUUCGUAUUGCGACGUUAGAGGUGAAAUUCUUGGAUCGUCGCAAGACGGACUAAAGCGAAAGCAUUUGCCAAAAACGCUUUCAUUGAUCAAGAACGAAAGUUAGAGGUUCGAAGGCGAUCAGAUACCGCCCUAGUUCUAACCAUAAACUAUGCCAGCUAGCGAUCCGCCGACGUCCCUCUGAUGACUCGGCGGGCAGCUUCCGGGAAACCAAAGCUUUUGGGUUCCGGGGGAAGUAUGGUUGCAAAGCUGAAACUUAAAGGAAUUGACGGAAGGGCACCACCAGGGAGUGGAGCCUGCGGCUUAAUUUGACUCAACACGGGAAACCUCACCAGGCCCAGACACUGGAAGGAUUGACAGAUUGAGAGCUCUUUCUUGAUUCAGUGGGUGGUGGUGCAUGGCCGUUCUUAGUCGGUGGAGCGAUUUGUCAGGUUAAUUCCGAUAACGGACGAGACUCUGACCUGAUAACUAGACGCACUUGCGGCAUCUCAAAGGUCCGCCGGCGGCUGGCUUUGCGCCCGUCGUCGCGCGCGAUUUUUACUGCCGGCGUACAAUAAAUUCUUCUUAGAGGGACAAGUGG